AAGACGUUAGAUUCCCGGAGAAACACUGGAGAAAGCCUGAAUUCUUAAUCUUCAAAGAAAAAACAUCAAAAGAAAAAUGAUGUUCAAACUAUCACUCAUUGGCCUGUUCCUCCUGGCUGUCGCUAACACUUUGGGGAAUGCUACGACACCGAUGAUCUCAAGUUCUAUGACAAUCUCGAGUCCCACAACAAGCCCGAAUCCUCUGACAACCUCGAAUCCCAAGACAACCUCGGAUUCCAACACAGUCUCGAAUUUCAAGAUGGCUUCACAGCUCCAAAGAACCUCAAAUGUGAAGAUGGCUUCAAAUGACAAGAUACCUCUGAAAAUAGUAAUGACCCACGAGACAGCCACGACCAUAAACAUGACAACUACAGAGAGUGCUGGUGUGAAACUGAAUCCACUGGACAGCACUCACUUUCUUUUCUAUGUAACGUGUUCACUGCUCUGUGUGCACUCAGGCUGAAACAGACUUGAACUAUCUGCGUUUCUAUCUCAGUUCAUUGCUAUCUGCUGAAUUACAACAUGUACACUACGAAAAUCAAAUUUAUUUCAACUUACAUGUUAGGAAGUUAUCAUUAUCCUGGCUUAAUUAGCUUGUAGAUUUUAAUUGUAUAAGUUUAAUUAUUACCUUAAUAUAAUGGUUACUUCCUUAUUUCCUUGCUUUUGCUAAAACAAGCAAAAUAUCACACAUUUGCCUUUGAUAUGCCUGCAGAAUUGAAUUGAAACUCAAAUUUUUAAAUUAAAAGUUAAGAGAAGAAAUUAUGUUGGUGACAUCUAACAAAGGACACCCCUGUGCGUGAGAGAAAGGGACAGAGGGUAGGGAUGAGGAGUGGUGUGUGCUGUUUUUGUAUUGUUUUUUAUUAAACAGACAAGUGCUAAACUUCUAAGGAGAUACUACACCUGGGUGUUCAUGAAUGUGGAACAGUAAUAUGUUGUUACGGUAAAAAAUGGGCCAACUCUGCUUUUUGAAAAAAAAAUUGUUUUUUAAAAUUUAUUUAAAUAAUCUCUCUACACCCGAGGUAGGGCUCAAACUCAUGACCCUGAGAUCAAGAGUCACAUGUUCUUCCGACUGAGCCAGUCAGGUGCCCCAAUUCUGCUAACUACUGUAAUGUAUAAUGCAGCUGGUCCAAUGUCAAGAUUAUCUUGCUCUGAGUAAACAUCUGCCUGUGCUUGAAAAGGUCAUUUAUAGAUCAGAUGCCUAGAAUUCAGAACUCUUCCCUACAGAAAUAUAUCUUAAAACCAUUGGAGAGUUUCAUGCUGGUCUACAAAGGUGGAUUCAACCCCAAAAUCUAGUACAUAAUUUUAACACUGAAAAUAACCAUGUCAUUAAUAGUGUGGUUGUUAAGAUUUGAAACCCAGCUGAUUCUUAGCAGCUGUGCUGCCAUGAGUUAAACACACGACUUGGUGGGAUUCCUAAACUUCAACAAUAAACUGAUUACAGACAAAUCA